rnacentral:rRNA from 1 species
GACGAACGCUGGCGGCGUGCUUAACACAUGCAAGUCGAACGGAAAGGCCCUGCUUUUGUGGGGUGCUCGAGUGGCGAACGGGUGAGUAACACGUGAGUAACCUGCCCUUGACUUUGGGAUAACUUCAGGAAACUGGGGCUAAUACCGGAUAGGAGCUCCUGCUGCAUGGUGGGGGUUGGAAAGUUUCGGCGGUUGGGGAUGGACUCGCGGCUUAUCAGCUUGUUGGUGGGGUAGUGGCUUACCAAGGCUUUGACGGGUAGCCGGCCUGAGAGGGUGACCGGCCACAUUGGGACUGAGAUACGGCCCAGACUCCUACAGGAGGCAGCAGUGGGGAGUAUUGCACAAUGGGCGGAAGCCUGAUGCAGCAACGCCGCGUGCGGGAUGACGGCCUUCGGGUUGUAAACCGCUUUCGCCUGUGACGAAGCGUGAGUGACGGUAAUGGGUAAAGAAGCACCGGCUAACUACGUG